rnacentral:lncRNA from 1 species
GACUCUACCUUGGCAGCCUUCAGCAAUCCUGGAGAGUCUCACCCCUUCCCACAGAGGAGCAGGGACUCUAAGCAUCUUCAAACAAUCAGUGCCAUUUUGUGGGAACUUAGAUCCAAUAUAUCCCUGUUCACGGGUCCCACAAUGCUUAGAAUGAUGCACUGCCCUGAGGAGUUUGACAGACGUGGCAGAGGAGAGAGGCAGGAGGGAGGAGGAGAAGAGACACUUAACAAGUGUCUGUGAGGUGGCGUUUACAUUUAGAAUUCCCUUUCCUUUCAAAGGAAUCUCCAGGAUAGCCAAAGAGUCCAGCUUAAAGGUAGCCAGCCAGAAAAAGUGCCCAAACCACGCAGUGAGAUCACACCUUUGAAGACCCCACCUUGGCAUAGACUCUACGGCUUUCACGAAUGAUGCUGAGCUCUCAGCAGCACCAGAACCUCAGGCUCUGACACCCACAAAGCUGCAGGUCUCCAGGGCUGCUUGGGCCAAAAGGACAUUGGCACUGGAUUUAGAGCCCACCAGAUAAUUUGGGAUGAUCUUCUUCAUAUCAAGAUCCUUCACAUCUGCAAAGAUCCUUUUUCCAUAUAAGGCUCCAAAUCACCAAACUUCUUUGCCUCUCUGGGAAAACUAAAUGACCCACCACUUCAGAAGAAGGUCAUGGGGUCUGUGCACAGCUUUUCACAUCCUCCCUGAAACACCAACACGCCCGGUCCAGGUUAAAGGAUAUCAGCACUGCCACACACUCUUCUUUUUCCCAAAUUAAUCAAGAAGUAGGAAUUUCUGACAAAUGCCAUCUGCUGAUUUUUCAGAGAGACAAGUUUUGGUGGUGUGACCAGCAGGUGCCUCGGCUUUUUCUAGCAUGCAGUACCAAAAUAGUCACCAUGGCAACCCUGGGAGGGCAGACUUCCAAAGAGAUGCAUUGUGAGCUCAGAAACUCUAGAGCACUUUCAAGCUAAAAGGAAGGAGGCUCAGCAGUGGGUUUCCAACUGUGGCAAGUAGCGGCUUCUCCCCACAUCCCUGGGCUGGACCCCAGGCCCCUGCAUACUGGGCACAGCCAGGACCCCCCGACCCCAGGGCCUGUGCUUCUAGGAAGAGGGGGAAAAUUGAAUUUGUGGGGAGUGGCAGGCAGGUGGAGCAGGCAACUCCCAGAUUUCUUGCAGGAGCUAAAGUAGCAUGGAGGGUGAUAAAUGGUGCCCACCUGGGUUGGGAGGCAGGAGAAUUGGGUUGAAAUACCUGCCCUGUCACUUGCUAACCAAUGACCUUGGGCAAUUGACUUGGCCUUUCUGACUCUCAGCUUCUCAUUUUCAAAAUGGGAGUGGUGAGCUUGCACUGCCUCUUCACAGGGAAAAUUGUGGAUAUGAUAGGAAGCUUGUGAAGACUGUUGGGAAAGUGCUCAGUGGACAGUGCAAAGCAGAAGAGAACAGGGAUUUGGGGAUCAGAAAGCUUGGGUUCCAGACCAGGCUCUGCUGCUUUCUAAUCUUAUGAGCUUGGGAAAGUCAUAGAGCUUGUCAAACCUACUCGCUCACCUUGGAAGAAGGCUCAGAAGCCCUGCCUCACAGAGUGGAUGUGCAGGUUAUCUGGGCUCUUUCUGUGACCUGGGAUUUUACACUCCCCUUCAGUGCAGACACCAAGACAGGAUGGACAAUACAGAGGAUUUUACUAGGGGAAACAUCUGUGAGAUAAAAAUGGGGAGGGAGCUGGUAGAGGCUAGAAGAGAGGAAAGGCUGGGAGAGCCAUCACACCUUGAUGCAAGUCUGACCUAAGUGCAGGAGGGAGGGAAGCAAGUUUGGGUGGAAGCUCCUAGACUGCCUAUAGCAAGGCCAUCAGAGAGUCCUCAAGCCAAAGUCACCUAUCAGAGAAGUUCCCUGUUUCUUGGAGACAGGUCUGCCUUAGUAUCCCUGCCACACUCAGUUGCUGAUUGUCUAGAAGCAGCCAACAGGAAGAGUGGCCUCUACAUAAAUAUGGGUGCAAGCAGCUGGAGGCCAUGAUCAACUGAACUCUCUCUUCAGGAGACAUAUUCUUAUGGCCACCACACCUACCCAAUCCUGAUGUCUUUUGCUUGAACAUCCACAUCAGGUACUUGGCCUCAGACCCACACCUCUACUUCAGAAGCCUUGUACCCCACAUCCAUGGUCCUCUUACCCAGAACAUUAUAGGAACUCAGGUUCAAUGAUGUCUUAGAAUACCACCCCUAGGAAAAAAAUAUAUUUUCUACAUCUCAAUUAGAUUAUGUAGCAAAGGUGCACAGGCAUUGUUCCAUUCUGCAUUUGAAUGUGCGUGUAUGUAGGAAUGCAUGCUUCUUUGUCAGUGUGCACGCAUAUGAACAGUAUAUUUGUAUAUAUAGAUGAGCAUUUAUAUCUACGUGUAUGCAUGUUGUGAAUUUAUGCAACAAUACCAUUAGCCCAUUAGCACUACAUAAGCAUUUUGCACACAGUAUCUUUGAUCUUUACAACCAUCUUUGAGGUAGAUAAGCAGGUAGUUUUGUAGGCACAAUCCUUGUUUCAGCUUAAAUGUUUUCCCCAACAUGCCACUCAGAUAACACAAGGUAGAGCCAUGGUUUGAACAGAAAUGUCUUCCUUCAAAGUUUCAGCUCUUGUCCUUUCUUCCACCCACCCCCAUCCCACCUACUCAUAUGACUAUGUGUUGCAUGAAAGCACAUACGUGUGCAUAUAGAAAAAAGAUUCAGAUGGGGAGGGGAAUAUAGCUGGAGAAGUAUAGAUUGAUUAUGGAUUGGUGACUGGUGAAAAGUAUUUCUGCCAGAAGCCCCCACACUACAAAAUGUAAUCCUAUUAAUGUGUGUCAUCUAAAAACAUAUAUUGUAUCCUAGCUGUAAGAAUUUCUAUUUAAUGGGCUACAAAGACAAAUUUUGGAGAUCCUAAGCAAUUUGAGUCUCUUAUUCUUCUAGUAUAAUCAAACAGUGAUCCACUUUCUUGGCCUUCCCCCAGAAUCCUUGCUCCCAUGGCAAGUUUUUCAGCCCAACUGGUGGAAAUUGUUUUGUCCUGAUUGAGAGGUAUUAAAGAAAAAAUAUCUACCCCAGCACCUUAGUUUUCUAAAUCACUUGUCUUUGCUUGUUUCCUAGCAGCAUGAAAUACUAGUCUGGAG